rnacentral:misc_RNA from 1 species
AAUAAAUGUGUUCAUGCAUGAUGUAAAAUUUGUGUAUUAAAGCUCUCAUUAAGGCUCAUUUUGCUAGCAGUUUUUGGAGUGGAGACGAACUGUAUUUUUAUUGGCAAUUUUUAACUCUCGCUUCCGGGGGAGAGUCCACCACUUUGUGGUAGUUUUCUUUAUUCAAAACACAAUCAAGAUUUGGAUUUUCCUCUAGCAAAAAGGACGUUGGCUUGAGUAAGGGGAGGCAAUAAUUUUCUGCUUGAUGAAAAAAAGGGCCACGGCUGAAUAUUCUUAAAAGAGCUGAAAAUGAAGAGAGUUCGUUCUCUCGGGUGGUGCAAACUUUGUCUAAUUAGUUACUAUCAAGAUGCUUUUUCA